CCCUGCCGUCGCCAGGCCUUCCAUUCGCGGUCACCUUGUGGGCGAGGCCCCUGGGCCCCGGGCUGGGGGAGGGGACCACCCCGUUGUGUGACACCUCGUGCUGUUCUGUCCCCAAACCUGUUCCCCCGGCCGUACCUGCCAGAGUGUGCCUACAUUCCCGAUAUCCCACUGGAAAGUGAGCUGCUAGGACGUAGACGGCAUCCGUUCCGUCGCCGAGUGCCGAGUGGGCGGCGACUUGAGGGAAGAAAGACCGGGAGGGAGACGCCGGGCGACCGCGAAGGGAGAGUGAGUAAAAUGAGCAGCCUAGAGGAUGCCACGUGGGGGGUCCUGUGCACCGGGGGAAACGGUCCUAGUGGACGGGAGUGCCCGGGCUCGACCCAGCGGGAGCAGCGGAGGGCUGGUAGAGGGGCGGGGGGGUGGGGUGGGUAGCAGGGGGCACAUCCCAAAUGCAUUCCCUUUUAACCGUAUUGUGUGAGGGUCAUGCUAGAGGUCUCCGUGCUUUCCCAGCCUUCGUGACAUUUUGAAAAUAUUGUUGGGUCCUAAGCAAUUUUACACCAAUUUCAUGUGCACUCCGUGAGGAUAUUGAUCAUUUGUUAUAUUAACAGAACUAGUCUAACAGCUUCCCGUCGUUCUUGUCAUCUUUUGACUGAGCUGGCUGUGAGCUAAGGUUUCCAACUGUAUUUUCAAGUUCCCUGUGUCCUUUUUGUACAAAUGUUCAGGGAUGGUACAAGUUGUUCCCGGCCCCUCCCCGCCCCCCAGGACUUAUAAAAUUUAUUGUCGUUUUUCAGUGUGCGCAUCACCUUCUCAGCGGCUUCUAGUCCAGCAGCAGCCUUUCCAGGCAGGCCUAGAAAGCUUCCCUUGAGAUUCCCAUUUGGGGCAGUGGCAUUUCCCGUGCUCCUGAAGUAACCUAGGAAGUUCUGGAUAGGAAUUCAGUAGCAUAGACACCGUCUCCAACCUUUCCAGGCAGACUAGUGGCUCUUGGGUCCUCAUGGCCACUUAGAAUAUUUCCAGAGUCAGGCAGAGCAUAGGUGAAGUUCGCGGGGGUCCACAGUUAACCACAGAAAGUGGUUCCUGGCAUGACUUAGACUUUUUUCUUUUUUUUUUUUCCGGUGGCUCUGAUGGGUCAAAAUGCCCUGGCUGCUGUUUUCACUGUUCCCGUGGCCCACUGGAAAAAGAAGCUGAAAUACAGGAUGUAGGUUGUCUAAUGGACCUGGAACGACGGAGUAAGUGAAAGGGAGUGAGUGAAUAUCCUAUUUUGGUAUUCAGUUUUUGCUAUGGUACCAUACAUACAAUAUCCAUUUUUUUCUUCAGAUGUGUUUUUCAUAUGGUACGACUGCAGUGAGCUUGUUUCAGUAUUUUUAGAAUGGAAAUACAAAUACGAAAUUUAUGAGGCUUCUUUUCAAGAAGUGAUAUCUAUGAAGUGUGUACUAUGUGUGAGAUAUGAUAGACCAAUAGGCCAACAGUCAGGACAAAGUUUUUAUGUUACACGUAAUGUGUCAUGUGUCGUGGAAGCCUUAUUAGAUAAUAUUUAUACCUUUUUUAGCAUCAUUCAUUAGAAACAGUUACUUAGGGGCAGCAAGAACUCACUUUCAUAGAGCUCAUGGUUUUUGUCAUCACUAGGUCAAGUGAUGCAUGGAAACUAUCAAACUUAAUGUAAAAAAAGUACUCAUGGGUUUUAUUUCCUUAUGAUGUGGUUUUCAAAUGGCACAUUAUAUGUUUACUAUAAGUUUUGUUUAUAUCAAGAAGGAUGUUUUAGAAUGAUGAUCAUACUUAUUUCUUAUGUAAUCCAACUCAUAUCCUAGUGAGAGGGAAAGCCGGUAAGAGCAGAUAAUAAAAAAAGGGCCAGCUCAAUGUCUGAGCCUGGAUAGUCCCCUUGUAUGCUUUUGGCUUCUGCAGCCUUGCUUGUCUCUUGCAUCAGCCAGCAGCCAGGAAUCAGAAGCUUGACUAUACUAGUCCUGUCCAAUCUGGAAGCAGAUAUGUAUAAAAGAUCAGUAGGACCCAAGCCGGGUACUCAGCCUUUGGAGGUGGUACCACUGGGCCAGCACCAGUGUGAAAUAAACAGUCUCCUCUGAUUCCCUGAGUGCAUGUCACUUGUCUCUUCCUGGGUGGCGAGUAUUUGCUGUAACAUUUUUGGUGCAUUGGCCAGGAAGCCGACAGCCAUACUGGCCCCUUCAGUCACCAUUGUGGGAAGCCAGCGGAGAGGCCACUCAUCGUGGACCCCUGUGAUGGAAAGGAAGGCACACUGCUGGGGAUUUCACUGGACCCCAACCCCCGCCGGGCCUGACAAUAGUUGGCCAUCACUUCGCUUGAAUGGAAUCCUGGAGGAAUCAGAAAAUUCUGCCAGGAUGGGACAUGGAUUGGGUAAAUGUCCCCAGGGACCCAGGACCAAAUUCAGCCCCGCCCUAGAGGCAGAGGGGGAGCUUGAUCACCUCCCAGGCUACACACUUGCCACAUAGGACAGGGAAGUCCUGGGUGUAAGUCUGCGAUCUGUCUGAAUGUAUGUGUGAGUGCCUGUGCUCCACAGUCUCAACUACGGAUCCUGAGUGGUUCCUACACUGCAAUUCCAUGAUGACCUCAUACGACUCAAGGCAGAAUCAGGUCCGCAGAGGCCUGAUCCGAGUCAGGGGUUUAUAUUGACCUGCCUGCCAAUGCUAAGAAGUGUCUAAAUCCCCGUGAGGGGAGCGGCCAGGUAGAUGAAGCAACCUUUUCCCUCGUGUAUGUCCUGUGACACCACACAUUGGGAGUUACCCAUCUAGGAUACCAGGACAGAUGGGGAGAAAAUUUCAAAACCAACUGUUUUGGAGUGUGUGAUUAAGAAUUUUUUUUCUUGGGGCGCCUGGGUGGCGCAGUCGGUUAAGCGUCCGACUUCAACCAGGUCACGAUCUCGCGGUCCGUGAGUUCGAGCCCCGCGUCGGGCUCUGGGCUGAUGGCUCAGAGCCUGGAGCAUGUUUCCGAUUCUGUGUCUCCCUCUCUCUCUGCCCCUCCCCCAUUCAUGCUCUGUCUCUCUCUGUCCCAAAAAUAAAUAAACGUUGAAAAAAAAAAAAUAAAAAUAAAAAUAAAAAGAAUUUUUUUUCUUAUCAUUUUACUUGAUUUAUUUUUUAAAUUUACAUCCAAAUUAGUAUAUAGUGCAACAAUGAUUUUAGGAGUAGAUUCCUUAAUGCCCCUUACCCAUUUAGCUCAUUCCCCUUCCCACAACCCCUCCAGUAACCCUCUGUUUGCUCUCUCUUUUUAAAAGUCUCUUAUGUUUUGUGCCCCUCCCUGUUUUUAUGUUAUUUUUGCUUCCCUUUUCUUAUGUUCAUCUUGUUUUGUAUCUUAAAGUCCUCAUGAGUGAAGUCAUAUAUAUGUGUUUCUCUGACUGACUAAUUUCGCUUAGCAUAACACCCUCUAGUUCCAUCCAUGUAGUAGCAAAUGGCAAGAUUUCAUUCUUUUUGAUUGCUGAGUAAUACUUCAUUGUAUAUAUAUACCACAUCUUCUUUGUCCAUUCAUCCAUCAAUGGACAUUUGGGCUCUUUCCAUACUUUUGCUAUUGUCGAUAGUGCUGCUAUAAACAUUGGGGUGCAUGUGCCCCUUCGAAACAGCAUACCUGUAUCCCUUGGAUAAAUACCUAGUAGUGCAAUUGCUAGGUCAUAGGGUAGUUCUAUUUUUAAUUUUUUGAGGAACCUCCAUACUGUUUUCCAGAGUGGCUGCACCAGUUUGCAUUCCUACCAGCAGUGCAAAAGAGAUCCUCUUUCUCUGCAUCCUCACCAACAUCUGUUGUUGCCUGAGUUGUUAAUGUUAGUCAUUCUGACAGGUGUAAGGUGGUAUCUCCUUGUGGUUUUGAUUUGUAUUUCCCUGCUGAUGAGUGAUGUUGAGCAUUUUUCAUGUGUCAGUUGGCCAUUUGGAUGUCUUCUUUGGAGAAAUGUCUAUUCAUGUCUUUUGCCCAUUUCUUCACUGGAUUAUUUGUUUUUUGGGUGUUGAGUUUGAUAAGUUCUUUAUAGAUUUUGGAUACUAACCCUUUAUCUGAUAUGUCGUUUGCAAAUAUCUUCUCCCAUUCCAUUGGUUGCCUUUUAGUUUUGCUGAUUGUUUCCUUCGCUGUGCAGAAGCCUUUUAUUUUGAUGAGGUCCCAAUAGUUCACUUUUCCUUUUGUUUCCCUUGCCUUUGGAGACAUGUUGAGUAAGAAGUUGCUGCAGCCAAGGUCAAAGAGAUUUUUUUGCCUGCUUUCUCCUUGAGGAUUUUGAUGGCUUCCUGUCUUACGUUUAGGUCUUUCAUCCAUUUUGAGUUUAUUUUUGUGUAUGGUGUAAGAAAGUGGUCCAGGUUCAUUCUUCUGCAUGUCGCUGUCCAGUUUUCCCUUCACCACUUGCUGAAGAGACUGUCUUUAUUCCAUUGGAUAUUCUUUCCUGCUUUGUCAAAGAUUAGUUGGCUAUAUAUUUAUGGGUCCAUUUCAGGGUUCUCUAUUCUGUUCCAUUGAUCUGAGUGUCUGUUUUUGUGCCAGUGGCUAAGAAUUUUAAAAAGGUGAGGAACACCUGAGUGGCUCAGUCAGUUAAGCAUCCGACUUCAGCUCAGGUCAUGAUGUCACGGUUCAUGAAUUCGAGCCCUGCAUCGGGCUUUGUGCUGACAGCUCAGAGCCUGGAGCCUGCUUCAGAUUCUGUCUCUUCCUUUCUCUUUGCUCCUCUCCUGCUUGUGCUCUCUUUCUCUCUCUCUCUCUCAAAAAUGAACAUGAAAAAAAAAAAGAAUUUUUAAAAGGGAUUUUCAGGGGACUAUGGGGUCAGAUUGACCCCUGGGAAUUAUACACCUUCUCUGAAUUAGAAUGGCCUACGUUUGGUGUAGGCUGGCCUGCUGAGGACACCCUAGAUGUCCCCACAGUCCGAGCUGUUUUUAAAGUAAUUACUGGAGACCCCGGCCACCUGGAUCAAUUCUCAUACAUUGAUCAGUGGUUGGAAAUAGCCUAAGCCCAAGGAGGGUCCAGUUCUGCCUUAAUAGUAAUGGACAAUGUAAAGUCUUGUGGCACAGCCUAAGAAGAAGACCUCACAGCAGAAAAAACCGCCCCCAUCCUCCAAAAAAAUUCAGAAGAAGUCCUUCCAUUUCCACCACCAAAUGCCCCAAGCGGCCCAUCAAUGGAGGGAGGGGACCCUUACCUGCCUGACAGUCCACCCCUGUCGGUCACACCUUUGCUAGCAGCCAGUCUGCCCUAACCAGGGACACUUGAACCGGUAGGAAGGUGCCUUAGAUCUGCACCUCAAGGUACAAGGCCCCCAAGGUCACUGCAGAUGCCAUUGUGGGAGACUAGGGGUCUCCAUAGAAUAGGCCCCAGUGGGACCCUACAAGAGGGGGAUUGGUUUUCUACUGCCAACUGUUCUCCACUACUGACCUCCUCAACUGGAAACACUACACCCGCCCUACUCUGUGCGGCUGCAGGCAAUGAUAUAUCUCUUAGAAUCCAUAUUCCAGACUCACCGCCCUGCCUGGGUCGAUUGUAAGCAGCUUCUGUUCACCCUUUUCAAUGCAGAAGAGCACUGAUGAAUUCUCACCAAAGUCAGAAAAUGUAUACAGACUCAGGCACCAGAUGGGCAACUAGACAUUGAUGCUUGGACACGGGAGCCUAUAUGCCCAAAGAGGAGCCCUGCUAGGACCCCAACACAGAAGCGGGAAGGGCCAGGUUAGAAAGAUACCAACUCCCCUUCCUCCAAGGGGUAAAAAAAGCAGGGGCCAAAAAGCCACUGAUACUGCAAAGGUAUCUGAAGUCCUACAAAAGCCAGAAGAGAGCCCAGGUGACUUCUAUGAAAGAUUAUGUGAAGCCUUUAGAGUUUACACUCCAUUCGACCCAGAAGCCCUGGAAAACCAGCACAUGGGCAAUGCUGCCUUCGUGGGACAGACCCAAAGUGACAUUAGACAGAAGCUCCAAAAAUUGGAAGAAUUCGCUGGACAGAACGUGAUGAAACUAUUGGAAAUCGCCAACAAGGUUUUUGUAAAUUGGAAUUGAGCUGCCAGAAAGGAGACAGACUGAAGAAUAAAACAAAAGGCAGUUCUCCUGGCUGGGGCCUUGGGGCGACUGUCCCCUCCAGAAGGGCCCCCAUGGAAACCACGUGGGAUUCAAGAACAAAAGAAGGGUGCCAGGACAGGAUCAGUGUUCCUACUGCAAAGAAUUUACACACUGGAAAAAUGAGUGCCCCAAUCUCCAAAUGAGAAAACCAAAAACUUCCGCUCCACCCAACUGCUACCAACCAGAACCACCUGAGGCUGACCUGAUAGGACUGGCAGGUGUGGACUCUGAUUAGGAAAGACUGGGCUCUAUCCAACUGGGCCCUCAUGAGCCCAUGGUCAAAAUGAAGGUGGGGGGCCAGGCAAUAGACUUAAUAGUCAACACUGGGGCCAAACACUCUGUAGUGACACACAAGGUGGCACCUCUAUCAGGUCAAGAAGUCAUCAUUGCAGGAGCCACUGGGAUGCAAACCCAAAGGCCAUUUUGUGUUCCCAGACAAUGCCAGCUGGUGGGGCUUACCAAGUAGUUAAUGAAUUCCUAUAUUUACCUGACUGCUCGGACUCACUGUUAGGUAGAGACCUCCUAGCCAAGCUGGGUGCAGAAAUAGCCUUCAUUUCGGAUGGACAGAUGCAAUUGCGCCUAAAUAAAAAGGCCCAACCCACGAUUUUGUCCCUGACAAUACCAUGGGAAGAGGAAUGGAGAUUAUAUACUUCCCCUCCCGGUGAGCCAACUGUGGCUCCCGAGCUAGAAGCUGAAUUCCCUUCAGUUUGGGCAGAAGGAAACCCCCCUGGUCUGGCAAAAAACCACCCCCCAAUAUUAAUUGACCUAAAGCCUGGGGCUCAACCUGUUAAAAUAUGCCAAUAUAUGGUCCCAUGGGAGGCAUGCCUGGGGAUCCAGAUACACUUGGACAGACUACUCAAAUGGGGACUUCUAAAACGAUGCAAGUCCCCAUGGAAUACUCCUUGCUGCCUGUGAAAAACCCUGGGACAGAUGAUUACUGCCCUUACAGGACCUAAGAGCCAUUAAGGAAGCAGUCAUCAUGCAGCAUUCAGCAUUGCCUAACCUAUACACUCUACUAGGACUCAUACUCUCUGAAGCAGGAUGGUUCACAUGUCUGGAUUUAAAGGAUGCCUUCUUCUGUCUCCAGCUAGUGCCUAAUAGCCAACCCUUAUUUGCCUUUGAAUGGGAAAACCCUACCACAGGGGCAAAGGAACAAUUCACUUGGACCAGACUGCCGCAAGAAUUCAAAAAUUCACCAACCUUAUUCAAUAAGGUGCUGGCAUCUGACUUAGCCAGUUUUCUGGGACAGGACCUAAGAUGUGUCCUUCUCCAAUAUGUGGAUGAUUUCCUGCUGGCCAGUCCCAUGCAGACCCAGUGCUGGGAGGGAACCAGAGCCCUACUCAGGCUACUAGCAGAGGUGGGAUACUGGGUGUCAAAGAAAGAGGCACAGAUUUGCCAAGGAAAUUAAAUACUGGGCUUCAGAAUUACCCAAGACAAACAGAUGCUGGGAGCCAAAGGGAAACUGGCAGUUUGUGCCAUUUCAGUUUCCACUACCCACCGGCAGGUCUGAGAGUUUCUGGGAGUAGCAGGAUUCUGACAGAUAUGGAUCGCAGUGUUCUUGGAGUUGGCCACACCUCUUUAUAAGGCACUAAAGGAGGAAGAAAGGGCACCCCUUUUCUGGGGUGCUAACCGAGAAAAGGCAUUUGAAACCAUAAAGACAAAACUCACACACUGGCCUUGGGACUCCCAGAUGUAUCAUGAGAUUUCAACCUGUUCAUACAUGAGAGCAAUGGGGUGGCCCUGGAGGUUCUUACCCAGGAAUUUGGACCUUGGCAAAGACCAGUGGCAUACCUUUUAAAGCAAUUUGACUCAGUUGCGGCAGGAUGGCCCCCUGAGGGCCCUGGAAAUCACCACACUUUUAAUCAAGGAAGCAGACAAACUCAUGUUGGGGCAAAACCUAAACAUUAGGGUUCCCCCAUUCUGUUAUUACCUUGAUGGAUGCCAGAGGGCAACACUGGCUAACUCAUGCUCAGAUGACACAAUAUCAGGACUACUAUGUGAAAACCCAUGAAUAAGAUUGGAAGGCAUAAACACCCUAAAUCCUACCGCUUUCUUGCCUGCAGGGGUGUGGCCCCCAGAGCAUGAUUGUGUAGGGGUACUUGAUGAAGUCUGUUCUAGUCGACCUGACCUAUCAGACAAGCCCUUACAAAAUCCAGACCUCAUGUUCUACACUGAUAGCAGCAGCUUCAUGAACGAUGGCAAGAUAUAUGCUGGUUAUGCAGUAGUCUCUGAUUUUGAUGUCAUAGAAGCAAAGGUCCUUCCACAUGCAUGGUCAGCCCAAAGAGCGGAACUGUGGGCCCUAAUGAGAGCGCUAGAACUCAGUAAAGACAAAAGAGCCAACAUAUACAACUGACUCGCGCUUUGCCUUCACCAUUGUACAUAUACAUGGGGCUCUAUAUAAGGAGAGAGGACUUUUGACUGCAGGGGGAAAAGAAAAAAUCGAGAAGAAUCCUAAAACUAUUAAGGGCAGUCUGGGAACUGAGGGGGGUAACAGUCAUCCACUGCAAGGGGCACCAAAGAGGAAAAGACUCAGUGUUGGAAGGUAACCGAUGGGCAGACACCGCAGCUAAACAAACAGCAGAACAAACAACAUCCUCAAAAAUCAUGCUGGCUCUGGAACUGCCAACUUCCCCAAGGUACACAACCCAAGAAACAAAAUGGGCACAACAGGAAAAGGGAAGCAGACAAAAGAAGGAUGGUGGGUACUUCCAGAUCAAAGAGUCUAUAUACUGGAACAGCUAGCCCACCAGGUGAUUCUCCCAACAGCAUGAGCUCACCCACCUAGGAAAAACUGCCCUUGAAACCUUAGUAAGUUGUUACUAUGUAAUUGCUUGGUUCCCAUCCCUCUGUGCCUUGAUCUUUUAAUGCUGCCUCCUCUGUGCUCAAAAUAAUGCCAAAUAAGGCGCCCUUGGCCCAUGGGGAUCUAAAUGCUAUGGUUAGGCACCUUUCGAAGAUUUGGAGGUAGACUUUACCAAAAUAAGACCCAGUGGAGGAUACAAAUUUCUUCUGCUAUUCAUCUGCACGUUUUUUGGCUAGGUUGAGGCCUACCCCACACGCACCAAAAAGGCAAGAGAAGUAACUAAGGCUCUGCCAAGAGAUAUCAUCCCCAGACAUGGAAUGCCAUUAACCAUAGACUCAGACAGUGGCCUGGCUUUUGUGGCUGAGGUGGUGCAAAAAGUAGCCAAAACCGUAGACAUCCAAUGGAACUUACACGCAGCCUACCAACCCCAGAGUUCAGGGAAGGUGGAACGUAUGAACUGGACCCUUAAGUCAGCCAUGGCAAAACUAUGUCAGGAAACUAACUUGUCCUGGCCAGAUAUACUACCCCUACCUCUUCUCCAAGUAUGCUGCACACCCCAGACAAAAAUAGGAUUAUCCCCAUUUGAGAUCCUAUAUGGAAGGUCCCCUCCACUAGUCAAAUUCAGGGGAGACCUGACACAGCUAGGGAAUUUGGAAAUACAAAAACAACUACAAGGAUUAGGGAAAACUAUAUUUGAGAUACAUAGAUGGGUGACAGGAUACCCAUUUCUCUAGGAAUAAUUGUACACCCCCCACAAACCUGGGAUCAGGUUCGGAUAAAAGAUUGGAAAAAGGAACCACUCAAACCUACCUGGAAGGGACCCUAUUUAGUUGUGCUAACCACACCCAGCCCUCAAGGUUGCAGGACUAACCGCCUGGAUCCACCAUUCUCAAGUAAAGGCAGGCCAUCUGUCACCUGACAACCACUUGGAAUGGAAAGUAACUGCUAACCAGAAUAAUCCUCUACAGAUCACCCUUAAGAAAAGAGCAGAUGAUACGCAGCCUGCAGCCAACACGUAAGAACUCUCUGUAACCAGAAGCUUGAGGAAAUCACCAAAUGACUUAAAUGAACUAUAGCAAAUUGUUCUCUCGAAUUUCAAUGUCAUCCCCUACCUAUUUCUCUUUCCAUACUUGUUAUACUCUUUGCUGUAUGGCUUAUCCAAGUUUCUUCUGCAGAUUUGCAUCUCAGUCACAAACUCUUGUUAGCCUCCUUCUACUUACUAAUGUCAGGAUCUCUUAUGCUCCUUAGAUUUAUAUGAUCUGAGUUGUGAUUGACGUCCUUCACUGCAUGUUGUUCUCUGUCUUUAUUACCUGUCUCCUACCCCAGGAUGGAAUUACCCUAUCUCCUGUCCUUGUUGCACAUAUUCCUGUUCCUAACCUGCUCAAAAGGAGUCUUCUCACUCACGCCAUGCAAAUGCAUGAUUUAUCAUUUCCCCCUUGUCCCUCAAGGCCUGAGGAGCCACUCUGUGCUCCCCACCGCUGGACCCCAUCUACUGUCUUCAUGAGGGACAAACUUAUGUUACAGGCGCACAAGGUUGCACUGCCUGCUACCCCAUUCGGCCUCCUAAAGAGACCAUUCCUCCCCCUGUGCCCUUCCUGACUCUUGCUCCAACCCCUCCCCUUGUACCAAUUCCUUCCCCUGCUCCUCUGGUCCACAUAGGUAAAACAACAAUACCACCAUGCCCCUGUGCCACCGUAUACACCUGCAUGCUGAAAAGAUGUUUUGAUACCAGGAGAGUCACUCCUUGUACCAGAAAUGGGACAACUUAUUGGACAGGAAAAAUGAAAAUAAAACGUUAUUGGGGGACCUGCCCUGAUGUUCCUCAUGCCUGUUGUGUCACUUCUGACCUAACCCUUCAACCUCUGGCGUAACAUAAAUCAGGUAGACCACCUGUCUUAGAUCCCUGUCUGGACCAAGUGUUAAAUGCAAUUCAUCACCUCCUCAAUGAUAUCAAUCCCAGCCUGGCCAGAGCCUGCUGGCUCUGCUUGUCCACAGGACACCCGCUAUGCAGCUACUCUGAUAACACAGGCAACUGUAAGUGUUACCCUGUUAACUGAAGAUCCAGACCCGCACAUGGUGAGACCUGUACUAACUGGAGUCUAACUGUCCCAAAUGGCUCCCAGGUGCCUGGCAAACACAAUGGGAACAGAGCCAGUUGGCAAUCUGACCAUUGGCCAGUGCAAUCAAACUCUUGACAGUCAGGAACUCACUCAUUUUCCCACAACCCAUCCCUGGUGUCAACCCCUCCCAGGGCUUCUCUUUGUAUGUGGGACAGAUGCCUACCUAUGUCUACUGGUCGAUUGGGUGGGCAUCUGUACAUGGCCUUCCUCACUCCUCAGAAAAACAUUUUUCCCAACAAUCGGUCUCUUAUAGUACCCUUGGCAGCAUAUACUCAAUCAAAAAGAGCCAUUCAAGUCAUACCCCUGCUGAUUGCCUUAGGAAUAACGGCACUGGAAUAGGAGGAAUAGUCUCCUCAACCACUUAUUGUCAUAAAUUAUCUAAGGACCUAACAGAUGACAUAGAAUGGGUUAUCAAAUCUCUGGUGGUUUUACAAGACCAAAUAAACUUCCUAGCAGCGGUAAUCUUGAAGAACAGAAGAGGGCUGGACCUGCUAACUGCCGAAAGGGGAGGAUUAUGUCUCUUCCUAAAUGAAGAAUGUUGCUUCUGUGUCAACCAAUCAGGGGUAGUUGGAGAUACGGUCCAGCAGCUAAGGGAGUGAAUCAACAAACGGAAGCAGGAAUUAGCAGACUCAUGGAACUCUUGGAGCAACAUAUGGAAUUAGGCAUCCUGGCUCCUCACUUUAGCUGGUCUUCUCCUAAUGCUUUUCAUAGCCCUCCUGUUUGAUCCUUGUAUUCUUAAUAUGCUAACCAGGUUUGUUUCCUCUCGCCUAGAAGCUGUCAAACUCCAGAUGAUGGUUUAGUUGGACCAUUCUAGCUGUCACUACUCUCCUUCGGAUGGCAAAGAAUCCUAGCUGUCACAUUCCUCUCUUCGACAUCCCUGCCCAGCAGGAAGAAGCCAGAAUGGUCUUCGCUCCUCCUCCUGUGGCAGCAAAGGGUUUCCUGCCCCCACAAAAUGAUUUUCUCUAAGUCUGCUACAGCAGCUUGAGAAUCAAGAGGCGGGAAUGAGAAGGAAAGCUGGUAAGAGCAUAUUCAAAAAACAAAAACAAAAAAAAUGGCCAGCUAGAUGUCUUGCAUGCUUUUGUCUUCCAGGAACCAGAAUCUUCACUAUCCUAGUCCCGCCCAACCCGGAAGCACAUAUGUAUAAAGGAUCAGUAAAACAUGAGUUGGGUGCUCAGCUUUUGAAGGUGACUCAGUGGGGCCAGCACUGGUGCAAAAGUCUUUUCUGAUUCCCCGAGUGCACGCUGCUUGUCUCUUCCUGGGUGCCGAGUGUUUGCUGUAACACUAGGAGCGAAAUUCAUUUUACUUCUCUUAUAAAAAUAUUAGAUUACUAUUUGUAUGUGUUGAUUUUUCCAAAAUGCUGAAAAUAGAAAUUCACUAAAUAGGAUAGGGCAUGAAAAUUCAUCUGAAAACAAUCUGUCAUUCAGAGACAAUUCUUAUUUUGGUUCAUAUAAAUGUGUUCAUGCAUGUGUUUUCCAGGGAAGCUGGACUUAGGAUCCAUUCCUGCCUGUCUCCAAAGCCCUGCCUAUACCAAACAUCAGGCCGCAGCCCUGUCUCCGUGAUGACUGCCUUUCUGCACUUCCUGCCAGCCACCCUCAUGUCUGGACUUCUGGGUUUGUGUUCUUUAUCUGGGGCUGUUGAUGGACCACGAGGAGGUCCUUGGGUAUCCUGUUUCCCAGCUACUAGAGGAUGACUUGCGACAGCAUCCCAGAUUCUGGCACGUACUUAGAAAAUUCUGCACAGGCACCAGCAGGUAGACACCAAUGUGGAAAUGAAUUCUUUCCAACCCAAUGGCCAAGAAAGAUUUUUUUUUUUAAUUUUUAAUGUUCACUUUUGAGCGUGAGAGACAGAGCAUGAGUGUGGAAGGGGCAGAGAGAGAGAGAGAGAGA
rnacentral:lncRNA from 1 species